GCGUUUUUAGUUUAAUUGGAUAAAACACUAAUCUUCUAAGUUAGGUAAUGAAGGUUCAAAUCCUUCUAAACGCA
rnacentral:tRNA from 1 species